CUAUCAUCCCCCUCCUCCCCUCUUGUGUGUGUGUGAGUAAAGUCCUCUUGGGCAGUUCCUUAAAUAGUUAAAAGUUAAAAACUGUAAGAAAAGGGAACCAAAGGGAUAGGUAACAUACAAGAUGGGAGGGACAAAUUUGGAACUAAACACAAAAUAAAAAUAAAUUCAAAUUAACUUAAAGAGGAGGGAGGUUGUCUACAACCUAAUGACAUCAAAAGUAAUUCAGUACCCCACUUUCCCUAAAAGUCAACCCUCUCAAAUGGAGGUCAAACUCUAGGAAUCAAUCCCCCUUGACAUGUGUUGUCAUCCUUAAGAGGAUGAGAAUGAUUGGUUGACUGAUGAAAAAUUAAUUAGAUAUAUUUUAGUUUAGGAUGAAAUUUCCAGAUUUCAGUAAAUCUGAAUUUACUCUCAAUCCAUAGGUUAGAUGCUCCUCAAAUUUGGGUUGUAACAUCCCCUAGGGUAGUUUUACUAACCCUAAAAGAUAAUCACGAUUUGACGGCUAGAUUAAAAGGAAUUAACGAAAUACAGAUUCAGAUCUCAAAAUUUUACGGAUUUCAUUAAUAUGCAAGGGCAGAAUCGAAAAUAAUAAAAUAUCUCACGAUCCAACUUUUAGAAUUAUCGCAGAUUUGAAUCAAGUUCUAAUCUAGGGAUGAUUAAAAUGUGUCCAAAACUUCAGAUCGAUUGGAUGGCUGAAUUUCUUAAUCUAGAAAACACUCUAUAUCCAACUUUCUAGAAAAAAGAAUCUUAGGUGAAGAACUUGAAAAACUAUACUUGUUGAUGGUAGAAAAUAGAAAUUGAAUAGAGAGAACUCUCAAUGGUAAUGAGAGAACACAGUAGCUUACAGAGAAGAUUUGAUCAAUUGGAUCAAACAUCGGUUUUGUCACCUUGACCAAACACAAGGAAGUCUUCACACAUGAAGAUGAGCACUAACAACAGAAAUUUUUAAUAGUAAAAUUCGUGUACAAUUCUUGACCCUCUUACAAACUUAUAUAAAAGACUCUAAAAUAGAUUUAGACACAAAGGAAAUAGACUCAAAAUAGGAGUGGACUUAUAAAUUCUUAAUCUAGUCUAACUAAGACACUUAACAAUAAGUAACAUAAAGAAAUAGAAACUCUUACUUGACUAAUCCCGUAAUCCUAGCCCAUACCCAUAUUAUAGGUCCAUAAAAGUGGCUCAUUACAAAAAAAACACUUGAAACUAAAGGCCCAACACAUAUAUAACCCAUCCCAAAGUUUAUUUCUACCAAAAUAAGCCCUAAUAGAUAUUAAAUUAGCUUCAUCACCCUUUUUUAAAACUUAUAAGAUUUGAACCCUAACCUCUCACCAACUUAACUCACAAUCACUAGGCUAACACUCAAGUUAUUAAUUUAAGUGGCAAAACAAAUAUUUAAAGAGGCUAAAGAAAAAAUAUCCUACGGUACCAAACUUUGGGGCAUUACACCCUCUCUUCGUACUAGGUUGGAUCCAUGCUAAGGUUUGGGUAUGAAUUGAUCAGGAUAGAUUUUAAGGAGAUACAUCGAAGUGACAUAGAAUAAAGAAAGAGAAGUAGGAAUUGUAAAUUCUAGAAUUAACGUGAGGUGGGGUGACACAAAGAAUAGCUUCAAUUGUAGUUUGUGAAGAUGUAUCCAUUUAAUAAUAUGGUGGCAGUAUCUUAAGAUUUAUCCGUCUAAGACUAUGGUUCAAAAUUCCGGUGGUUUCAGUCAAUACUUAUUGAAAAUUUUCAUUUUUGACCCGGCUUAAAACGAAACUUUAAGCGACUCUCUAGACAUAUCAAAUUUUGAUAGGUGUUUUGCAAUUUCAUUUUCUUUCGUUGUAUAGUUGUCAAGGCUUCACCUAGGCGUCCAGUUGGUUCUCUUGGGGUCUAGGCAAUUGUCGCCUUAUUGCAAGGUGCUUUGAAGUGGUAUUGAAGCGUGUUUAGCACUUAGUUAUGCAAAUAUUGUUUGUUAUAAAAUCGUUUCCUUAAGAUAUUAUUAAUAAAUAAGCAAAUACCCCCUAUUUAAAUCCAAUAAAAAUUGUUUCAAAAUAGAAUUCUAAAAGGAUAAAAAGUCAACCCCUCAAUUCAUGAACAAAACCUAGAUUUUUGUUGUAGGGGUGAUUUUCAACUUUCAAAUGGUGGGGUUUUUUUUCACAAAUCUGAUAAUUCCAUAAAUGUUAUUGCUAAAAACCAAAAGUGCAAUAAUAAUCUUUUGUUCUAACAUCUAUAACUUUAUCUUUCGUCUAUAAAAUUCCAAAAGGAUAAAAAGUGAACCAUAAAAUAAGUUUGACCAGAACAUAACUUUAUCAACACAACUUGGUUUUCUGCAACCUUGGAUUUGUUGGAAAGCAAGAUUUGUGUUCGACCUAUACAAAAAGUCUUAUGCAAAAAUAAAAUCAUUUUGCUAGUCAAACUUAUUAGAGAACAAGAAGAUUUCUCUGAAUGUUGAUUCUUAAUGAAUUGAUGUGACUUAAUAUUGUUUUUUACGUACUUGAUGUGGCUUAAUGUUGAUUUUUGAUUAUAUGAGGUAUAUGUCGUGUACUAAAUAAUGUUAGAAAAGAUGAAAAAUAAAAAAAUAACACUUGGUCGCCUAGGCGGGUGCUCGAGCUCUUAGACGAAGAAGAAGCAGCGGAAGAAGAGGGGGAAAAAAAAAAAACAUUCGUAGAUGAAGAAGAAGCAGAGGAAGAAGAAGCAAACUAGCAGAGGAAGAAGAGGGAAAAAAAAAAUUAGUCGCAGAACCAGAAGACGAAGUAGCAGGGAGGGAAAAAAAAAAUAUUACAAACAUACCUGAAGCAGAGGAGGGAACGAUGGAUUUCAGCCAAGUCCAACUUCAAUCUCAAUCGGUCGGUUGAAUCAAUGAAUCCAAAGUUCUCUAGGUUUAGAGGCGGAGAGAAGUAUGGCAGAGAGACUUCACCGGGAGAGAGAAACAUAGAGGGUCUUAAAUUAUAAACCUUUCAUGUUAUAUUUCCCCCCACCACCAAGCUUUUUUUUUUUUUUUUGUUCACUUGAGGAGUAAAAUGAUUCCAUGCAUCUCACACCAUUUAAAAACCUGUACUUCAUCAAAUGAAAAGUUUACAAUUAGAAUAUAAAAAACAAAUAAUUAAGUGAAAGUAAAAAAAAAAAACACACACACACAAGGCGGUCGCCUUGCCUACCAAGUCGUCCAAGGCGCCGCCUUUUGGACGCCUUAAUACCAAAGGCGACCGCCUUUUCUAUGUAAACAAUGGCGUCCCUCGCCCUAUCCCUAAAAAAAGCGCCUGGACGCCAAGGCGACGCCUUGACAGCUAUGAUAUAGACAAGGUACGACGUACACUACCAACCUGGGGUAUGAAACUAAACUAACAUUUUGAGUGUGUUUUUCAAAAUUCUAAAGGUCAUAGAUGUUAAGGCGGCCAUUGUGUUAUGGGAUGCAUUUUUUAUGUGAAUAAAUAAUUCAAUACCAAAGGAACAAGAAAAAUUAGGGGGGAGGGGAAAAGGAAAUAUAUAAGAUCCCAACAGGGGAAACAACUCAAAUAGCAGAGGAUACACCCCUAAGGGGGGGGGGAGAUGGACGGAGUAACAUGGACAAAGGAAAACCCAGGAGACAAUGGAGACAACAAUAAGCCUGUUCUUUGGGGAAUCCUCAAUAAAACAGGGAGGGAUCGAAGCAAGUUUGGAGUAGACAUCAAAGUAGAUGGAAUUCCAAAUCUUAUUAAAGGAUAUAGAGUUGGAAGUCCAUCUAUGAAAGUUACGCUCCAUCCAUGAUGGUGGCUGCCGCGGUUCUAAAGGUGAGCUUCCCAACAAUGUUGCAGAUAGAGCUGUCGGUAAAGGUCAUGUCAAUCCAUAUCCACUUUUACAAGGGGGAGGGGCCUUCUCUUGGCUUGCCAGCAUUUUGUAAGGACGCUUUUAGAUGGUGGAAGUGAAGGGGCACUUAAAGAACAGGUGAUUGAUUUCUUUAGAAUCGUUCCAACAAAGGCAACAGGUUGGAGAGACAGGCAUGUGGCGAUAUAUGAGAAAUGACUAGGUAGGGAGGCAAUUGGAGAGGGCUCUCCAGACGGUGAAGCUGUGACAGGGGAUGUGAAAUUUAAACCAGACGACUUUGUGCCAAGGAGUAGUGGGGCCUUGGGAUUGGGCUAGGUGCUAUGCAAAGGAGGAAGAGAAGCAACUCGAGGAAUAGGAUGAUCAAAUGACUCUAUCUUGUCUACUACUAGAAGGAAGAGGAGGAAGAGAGGACCAUAUGGUGGAGAGGGGGAUUAGCAGGAGGGAACAAGAGCUAUUGGAGAUGACUGAAGAAAUUUUAGUGUCCUUGGCAAGACCAGAAGAGUAGACAGUUCUUAGUCCCUAGAAUUUUGGAAGUACUAAAUUUCGGUCUCCAAUUUGCUUUCUGUUCUUCCUUGUACACAAAAAAAAGUUUCUCAUAUAUAUUUUUAUUUUGUUUUUGGCUACCCACUUACCAAUCUGAUGAAAGAAAAGGUAGAAAGUUGAACACUGAAUUAGUUUAUGUUUUUAUGAUGUAAGAACAAGGGAGAUAUCCCUCCCCACCCCCUUCCCCCAGGAAAGCGUAAGCAGAUAAGUCCAUUAUGAUCUUUUGAUUUACUUCUUUACCUUAGUUUAUGAUUGUUGCUUUACUAUUGCAACUUUGAUCCGAGUGCCUAUUACUGACUAGCAGAUCUGACUGUCUAGCAGGCUAAGUUUGAUCAUGACAGAUGGCUUGGUGAAUCAUUGACACAUCUAUGUGUUUGCCUAGCUGAAUACCAAGUUGAUUUUUCGUCCUAUUUUAGCUUACCUAUUCAGAUCUCAACGUUUCCAUGGUACAUGUACCUCUUGAUGGGUUCACCGUUUGUCCAAGUAUAAAAUGUCCUUAAGAGUAUGGUGGAUGAAACUGCUUAUUCCAGAAUGUACCUAAACCGAGAGAAUUUGGAAAAUACAAUUUGUAUGAUCAUGCCUUCACUCAAAUGUUACCCCAUCGUUGGGAAUUCAAGAGCUGUACCUCUUGAGUUAGCUUCCAUUGAUUCUGACGAAACCUUCUAUUUGGACUCAUUUUUUAGUAUUAAUGUUCUUCAUGCAAAAAAUGUGGCUGUGCUGCAAAAUAUGGGAGAGGCAAUCUUUUGUUCAAUAUACAAAAUGUUCUACAAAUUUAGCAGUCUCAUUUUAUAUUAAAAAUGCUUGAAGCAA